rnacentral:rRNA from 1 species
GUAAGAGCUCGUAGGCGGUUUGUCGCGUCUGCCGUGAAAGUCCGGGGCUCAACUCCGGAUCUGCGGUGGGUACGGGCAGACUAGAGUGAUGUAGGGGAGACUGGAAUUCCUGGUGUAGCGGUGAAAUGCGCAGAUAUCAGGAGGAACACCGAUGGCGAAGGCAGGUCUCUGGGCAUUAACUGACGCUGAGGAGCGAAAGCAUGGGGAGCGAACAGGAUUAGAUACCCUGGUAGUCCAUGCCGUAAACGUUGGGCACUAGGUGUGGGGGACAUUCCACGUUUUCCGCGCCGUAGCUAACGCAUUAAGUGCCCCGCCUGGGGAGUACGGCCGCAAGGCUAAAACUCAAAGGAAUUGACGGGGGCCCGCACAAGCGGCGGAGCAUGCGGAUUAAUUCGAUGCAACGCGAAGAACCUUACCAAGGCUUGACAUGGACCGGACCGCCGCAGAAAUGUGGUUUCCCCUUUGGGGCUGGUUUACAGGUGGUGCAUGGUUGUCGUCAGCUCGUGUCGUGAGAUGUUGGGUUAAGUCCCGCAACGAGCGCAACCCUCGUUCUAUGUUGCCAGCACGUGAUGGUGGGGACUCAUAGGAGACUGCCGGGGUCAACUCGGAGGAAGGUGGGGACGACGUCAAAUCAUCAUGCCCCUUAUGUCUUGGGCUUCACGCAUGCUACAAUGGCCGGUACAAAGGGUUGCGAUACUGUGAGGUGGAGCUAAUCCCAAAAAGCCGGUCUCAGUUCGGAUUGGGGUCUGCAACUCGACCCCAUGAAGUCGGAGUCGCUAGUAAUCGCAGAUCAGCAACGC